AUCACACAAAACACAGGAGCCAAGAAGGGCUCUCAAGCUCAAACCCUAAUCAACAUAAUUUCAUCAAAUUGAAGAGGCAAAUCAAGUCCAAAACAAAAUCUAAGCUCAAAUUAGUGAUCAACUCCAUGAAGGGAUCAUAAGGCAAAGGAAUUGAAUCUUCAAGCGGACGAGCCGAAGUUGAUGCACGCUUGAAGGAAAAGAACUAAAGGUGAAGCAAGUGACAUUCCGGAUGGUGAUCAAGCAAAUAAUAAGAACCGAACACAUCACUUUUGAAGCUUCCGCAAGAAUAUGUUUUGUUUUAGUUCAAAAUGGGACAUGUAACUCUUGAUGUCACAUUAUGUAUGUUUUAAACUAGUAAGGAUGAAAAUCCUAUGUACUUUAAUCAUGCAUGAACUUUAAACUUAACGGAAAACUUUUGUAAA